rnacentral:tRNA from 1 species
GUUUUUAUAGUUGAAUUACAACGCUGAUUUUUCAUUUCGGAAGUCUGGCUUAAAGUUGCUAGUAAAAACG